UACGGGGGGGGCAAGCGUUGUUCGGAAUUACUGGGCGUAAAGGGUGUGUAGGCGGUUCUUUUAAGUUUGGUGUGAAAUCUCCCGGCUCAACCGGGAGGGUGCGCCGAAUACUGAGGGACUCGAGUGCGGGAGAGGAAAGUGGAAUUCCUGGUGUAGCGGUGAAAUGCGUAGAUAUCAGGAGGAACACCGGUGGUGUAGACGGCUUUCUGGACCGUAACUGACGCUGAGACACGAAAGCGUGGGUAGCAAACAGG
rnacentral:rRNA from 1 species